AAUAGAUACCCGGGUAGUCCACGCCGUAAACGAUGAGUGCUAAGUGUUGGGGGGUUUCCGCCCCUCAGUGCUGCAGCUAACGCAUUAAGCACUCCGCCUGGGGAGUACGGCCGCAAGGCUGAAACUCAAAGGAAUUGACGGGGGCCCGCACAAGCGGUGGAGCAUGUGGUCUAAUUCGAAGCAACGCGAAGAACCUUACCAGGUCUUGACAUCCCGCUGCCCGGUAUAGAGAUAUAUCUUUCCCUUCGGGGACAGCGGUGACAGGUGGUGCAUGGUUGUCGUCAGCUCGUGUCGUGAGAUGUUGGGUUAAGUCCCGCAACGAGCGCAACCCUUGAUCUUAGUUGCCAGCAUUUAGUUGGGCACUCUAAGGUGACUGCCGGUGACAAACCGGAGGAAGGUGGGGAUGACGUCAAAUCAUCAUGCCCCUUAUGACCUGGGCUACACACGUGCUACAAUGGAUGGUACAAAGGGCUGCAAGACCGCGAGGUUUAGCCAAUCCCAUAAAACCAUUCUCAGUUCAGAUUGC
rnacentral:rRNA from 1 species